GACGAACGCUGGCGGCGUGCUUAACACAUGCAAGUCGAGCGGUAAGGCCCCUUCUUUGGUACACUAGCGUCUAACGGUUUAGUAACACUUUAUCAAUCUGCCCAUCACAUCUUGAUAACUCCGUCAUACCGAAGCUAAUACCUAAUACGACCACCUCCGUCAUCGGUUGUUUUUUGUAAUUUCCGGCGGUGAUGGAUGAUCUCGCGGCCUAUCAGCUUGUUUGUUGGGUAACGGCCCACCAAGGCUUCGACGGGUAGCCGGCCUGUGAGGGUGACCGGCCACACUGGGACUGAGAGACGGCCCAGAAUCCUACGGGAGGCAGCAGUGGGGAAUAUUGGACAAUGGGCGAAAGCCUGAUCCAGAAACGCAGCGUGAGGGAUGACGGCCUUCGGGUUGUAAACCUCUUUCAGCAGGGACGAAGCGCAAGUGACGGUACCUGAAGAAGAAGCACCGGCCAACUACGUG
rnacentral:rRNA from 1 species